UACAGAGGGGGCGAGCGUUGUUCGGAAUUACUGGGCGUAAAGGGCGCGUAGGCGGCCAACUAAGUCAGACGUGAAAUCCCUCGGCUCAACCGGGGAACUGCGUCUGAUACUGGAUGGCUUGAAUCCGGGAGAGGGAUGUGGAAUUCCAGGUGUAGCGGUGAAAUGCGUAGAUAUCUGGAGGAACACCCGUGGCGAAGGCGGCAUCCUGGACCGGUAUUGACGCUGAGGCGCGAAAGCCAGGGGAGCAAACGGG
rnacentral:rRNA from 1 species